rnacentral:rRNA from 1 species
GACGAACGCUGGCGGCGUGCUUAACACAUGCAAGUCGAGCGGUAAGGCCCUUUCGGGGGUACACGAGCGGCGAACGGGUGAGUAACACGUGGGUGACCUGCCCUCAGCUCUGGGAUAAGCCUGGGAAACCGGGUCUAAUACUGGAUAUGACUCCAUGACGCAUGUUGUGGGGUGGAAAGCCUUGUGCGGCUGAGGAUGGGCCCGCGGCCUAUCAGCUUGUUGGUGGGGUGANGGCCUACCAAGGCGACGACGGGUAGCCGGCCUGAGAGGGCGACCGGCCACACUGGGACUGAGACACGGCCCAGACUCCUACGGGAGGCAGCAGUGGGGAAUCUUGCGCAAGUGGGCGAAAGCCUGACGCAGCGACGCCGCGUGA